CCAAAAUAGCCUUAGAAUAACAGAGGUGAAGAAGAGGGGUAUUUUCAUAAUUGCAGCUUAUAGGGAUGAUCAGGAAAAGUCAGAGAUCGGCCGUUCCUACUACAGUUGUUUAUGUUUUUGUAUUGCACAAUUCUACAUGAAGAUAGUGUUGGAUUUUUAUAUAUUUGUGUCGGAUAUGGCAAGAAAUGAUUCCUUUUGGCGACCAAAGAAGAAUCAUGGUAAAAAAUAAACGCCAUGUUGUAAACAACGUUCAAAAUAUAGUCAGCUUAGAAACAAGUUAUAUGAUUGGAUGGAUCCCGUUUCCACUCAGGAUAAUAUUAUCAGUGAUUGGUCCACAAGUAAGGGCAAGCACCAAUUUACAAGGUGGGGCUAAAAACAGACCAUUCACAAUAAUAAAGAAAUUAAAC